rnacentral:rRNA from 1 species
GAUGAACUCUGGCGGCGUGCCUAAUACAUGCAAGUCGAGCGAACAGACGAGGAGCUUGCUCCUCUGACGUUAGCGGCGGACGGGUGAGUAACACGUGGAUAACCUACCUAUAAGACUGGGCUAACUUCGGGAAACCGUAGCUAAUACCGGAUAAUAUAUUAAACCGCAUGGUUCAAUAGUGAAAGACGGUUUUGCUGUCACUUAUAGAUGGAUCCGCGCCGCAUUAGCUAGUUGGUCAGGUAACGGCUUACCAAGGCAACGAUGCGUAGCCGAGCUGGGAGGGUGAUCGGGCGCACUGGAACUGAGACACGGUCCAGACUCCUACGGGGGGCAGCAGUAGGGAAUCUUCCGCAAUGGGCGAAAGCCUGACGGAGCAACGCCGCGUGAGUGAUGAAGGUCUUCGGAUCGUAAAACUCUGUUAUUAGGGAAGAACAAAUGUGUAAGUAAAUAUGCACGUCUUGACGGUACCUAACCAGAAAGCCAUGGCUAACUACGUGCCAGCCGCCGCCGUAACAC